rfam:Oryza rufipogon genomic scaffold, chr12
AAUAAGUGCAGUUUUGCACUAUUCACGUUCAACGUUUGACCGUUUAUCUUAUUUAAAAUUUUUUUAUGAUUAGUAUUUUUGUUGCUAUUAGAUGAUAAAACAUGAAUAGUACUAAAUAUUUUUAAAUUUUUCACAAAUUUUUCAAAUAAGAAGGACGGUCAAACGUUGGACACGGAUAUCCAUGGCUGUAUUUAUU